AUUGAACGCUGGCGGCAUGCUUUACACAUGCAAGUCGAACGGCAGCGCGGGCUUCGGCCUGGCGGCGAGUGGCGAACGGGUGAGUAAUACAUCGGAACGUGCCCAGUAGUGGGGGAUAGCUCGGCGAAAGCCGGAUUAAUACCGCAUACGACCUGAGGGUGAAAGCGGGGGAUCUUCGGACCUCGCGCUAUUAGAGCGGCCGAUGGCAGAUUAGCUAGUUGGUGGGGUAAAGGCCUACCAAGGCGACGAUCUGUAGCUGGUCUGAGAGGACGACCAGCCACACUGGGACUGAGACACGGCCCAGACUCCUACGGGAGGCAGCAGUGGGGAAUUUUGGACAAUGGGCGAAAGCCUGAUCCAGCAAUGCCGCGUGUGUGAUGAAGGCCUUCGGGUUGUAAAGCACUUUUGGCGGGAACGAAAAGGACUGUGCCAAUACCACGGUUCGAUGACGGUACCCGCAGAAUAAGCACCGGCUAACUACGUG
rnacentral:rRNA from 1 species